UACGUAGGGUGCAAGCGUUGUCCGGAAUUAUUGGGCGUAAAGCGCGUGUAGGCGGCUUUGCAAGUCGGGUGUGAAAGCCCUCAGCUUAACUGAGGAAGUGCGCCCGAAACUGCAGAGCUUGAGUACCGGAGAGGAUGGUGGAAUUCCAGAAGUAGAGGUGAAAUUCGUAGAUAUCAGGAGGAACACCUGUGGCGAAGGCGUCCAUCUGGCCCGUUACUGACGCUGAUGCGCGAAAGCGUGGGGAGCAAACAGG
rnacentral:rRNA from 1 species